GUAACGUUCGACUCGCCGGCACUCAGUAACCGUAUAGGGACCACACAAAAAAUCGCAAAUUAUUUUUUCACUUGUUCAUUUCGAAUCUUAUUUCAAUUACCAUAGGAGUUGUAAUUAAAUAACCGUUUAAAGUGACCAGGCCCUUUUUUUGCAGGUAGUGGCACGCGCCGUUUUAGUUAACAAUGGACAAAGGAUAAGCCGUUGGGGGCCAGCUACAAAUCUAACAACUAUACCUAUGUGUGUAUGGCCGACGGUAAUUGGUUACCAUCAGGCGAUUCAUCUGCUGGUUUGCCUCAUAUAAUAAAUACGGAACCCUAGAAAAAGUUUCAGAUGCUGACCCUAGAACAACCUGGUACCAAAAAAGCACGGAGAAAAAAGUUAGCUUAUUGUACUCUAUUCUGGGGCGGUCUUGUGGUUAAUGUUCGUAAUUAAAAGUAAAUGUAAGUACCGUAAAACCACCCAACUAUAGUCCAAUACUGCAACUAUGGUCCACAAGUUCAAAAGGAAAUUAAGUAUCUAUGCCAAUGUUCCUUGUGGUUUACUCUUAGUUUUACUUUCCAUUUAUAAACAUACUUUGCCUUAGAACUACAAAAAUAUAGUAAAAUACACACCUGAACGAGAAAAAUUUAGUUUAUUUGUGGACCAUAGUUGGGAGCUUUGGACUAUAGUUGGGUGGUUUUACGGUAGAUUAAAAGUUGUAAGUACAGAUUAUUUCAUAAUUGAUUGGCGCUAAAGUCAAUAAAAAUAUUGACAGAUAAAGAAAUAGUCAAAUAAGAACUUUGUGUAUAAAUAAAUCUAAUGUAGUUAGCUUUAUUGAUAAAUUAGUAAAAUUAAAUCCACGACUACUUACAGAGAUUUUCUGGAUAGAAGUACGAUUCUGGACCGAAUUUUUAUCUUCCUUUUACUAAGCUGUCCCAUUACUCUUCUGCAGCCAUACUAGUUCCAAGAAAAUAAACUACUUUUAUAACUUAAACAAAAAUUUGAUAAAGUGCCCUCCAUCAGCGGCUGUUAGUGCUAAAGUUCUAACUUACGGACUUAAACCUCUUAGCGCCAGUCACUAAUUAACGUACAAAUCUUCGUAUUAAGCUGAGUAACGCUGGCAUUAAGUUUUCAUAGCUAACUUUUGAAUAUGAGGAAUUUUUAUUUCCUUGAAGACAGCAAAAAGUUGAAGUUUCAUGAACAUGUUUCUCCACUGGCAAUUCCAUAUAACAUCGUGUGUUAUCAUCAUAUUAAAUGGUCCCUGUCACGGAAUGAAAUAUACCGUUAUGUAAAUGCCCGUAUAAGACUGUGGCAUACAAGUGAAGGCACCGCCUGGCUGAUUUGAAAUGGAAACGGAGAUAGAAGCAAAGCCUAUGCAACUCCAGCAACGAUACGAGCACGUAAAUCUUUAUUAGUAAGUAAUUAUCUGGUCAGGUCAUGGGAAAACAAUCAGGUUCCUCUUCGUCAAAAACAUAAUUAUCAGAUGUUUGCACCCUAAAACUCAAUAACAAUUCUACAUAAAAUUAUGACGCGUAAAGGAUGAUUCACGCUAGAUACGGGCCGGGCUCGGGCCAAGGCGUCCGACAUGUUCUUUUCUAAGAUCGGAUCACGUGGUGCUUUCCAUAGAAAACGAAACGCCAGAAGCUCUGGCCCGGCCCGGGCCCGGUCUAGCCUGAGUCAUCUUUAAUGUCUUUCAUUAACAGUUUUGAAUGAUUCACGAUUAGUUUCACUAGACUUAAAUCGACCGGGACAAUGAACCGUGAUUCAAGAACUCAAUAAAACAAUAUAAAAGGUAAUCACGGUUUAUAUCCCGGUCGAUUUAUGUAUUUCACUGUUUUUUUUCCGGAGUAAGAUCAUGAGUCAUUUUUGCCAUGAUUUCAGCCUGUAUGCGUGGGAUUCAGAAAUACUGAAAUGUUUUUUUUUUCAUAUAAUGUAUCUUACCAUGAGCACGGAAUAAAAUUUUCAUUCUAAAAUUGGUAAUUCGUAAAAAAAAACCGUAUCACUGACCGAAAAUAUAAUCGCCACAAAAAACUUAUUCAUUCCCCAUGCACUCCGGCACACCCAUAAAUAUUUCAUGCUCCGUAUCCUACACGGAUCGCGAUCUGAAGUCAAAGCUGAUAUUCAAAGUGUCGGCUCCGGAAAUCCGCCGCUGAUUUGUCAAAGACUUAGUCGUAGAUAGUGCCACAACCCGCACAACACGCGGUGGAUUUGUGGGAUUUCUGUGUGUGGAGAAACCUCUCUAUUAGAGUCGAUAAGGAAGUUUAAAGGCACUGCGUGUUUUUAGGGUUCCGUACCAAAAAGGUACAAAAGGAACCCUUAUGGUAUGACUCUGUCCAUCCGUCCGUCUGUCUGUCUGUCACAAAGCUAAAUAUCUCGAGAACCAAAUUUUCAAAUAAAAUAUAAAUUUUUGAAAUCGGUUCACAGGAUAGAGAAUUAUUCAUGCCGUUAGAUGGCGCAGUACACAAUAAUACUUAGUAUAGGUACAUCUAAAGUCUUUCACAUUUAUAGUCGCGAUAAUUCAAAGAUUGUACGGAACCCUCGGUGCGCGAGUAAUACGAACUCGCACUUGAUCGGAUUUUUUUCACUGGUGGCAAAAAGGUCAUAUGCAUUUUAUCGUAGGUACAUAGGCUUAACUCGUUAGCAUUUUUCCUGCAUACAGUAUUGUCCACAGAAGAGACCUUUUUUUUAAAUGUGUUUGACAGAUUUUCUGAUAGAAAAAUGCGUCAAAAUAACGCACAUGAAUUGAUGAUUAAUGUUAGGUCACCUCAAAUGUUUAUUUUACCAACAGUAACAUAAGUUUCAGUUAUUAUAAUUAUGUGGUACAGUUAAGAUAUAAAUAUCGACACGGACAAAGUACCAAAAAUAUGUAUACACGACCUUAUUACCUACAUAUUAAAGUACAUAUUUUUGGCGCUUGGUCCAUGUCGAUAUUUAAUACCUUGACUGUACCUAAUAAAUUGAGAUAUAUAAUAUAUACUUAAUGUAAUGUGUAUGCCGCUGUAGCAAUGGCAGCUAACAACACGGUGAAUUUAAAAUUUUCAUUCACAACCCCCAGAGAAUAAUCUGUUUCCACUUAGCUUUCUUGUUACAGACCGAAUAUUCUCAUUGUUUGCACGAGUCUUGUGUAAUCGAGUCCAUGUUCAAUCCAGUUACACGUGACCUCUAUUGACUACUAAAAGAAAAAGUGCUCCUAUGCUGGUUCUUUCAAGCGAUUAUAUUUCCCGUCCUGGGCUACCGAUUGGAAUGAUACUAAGUCCCCAUGGUAUUUGGUUAACUUGGCUUUUGUGUGGACCAAUGGCGUUGAGUGAUCUCAAUCUGGCGGGCUAUUAUGGGAGUUGCAGACUACAAAAGGACUAAUCAAGUUGUGUUAUGGCAAUCAGCAGUCAUUUUGGUAAUUUUCUAAAUCAAGUUAGUAAUUGAUUAUUUCUAAAUAUUACAACGGGUCUAACGCGAUAAUAUUACAUAAUUUUUACCUUAUCCGACUUUUCAGCUGGGCUGCACCAGUUGUGGUCACGGAUGACUAACCACAGCUACUGUCAUUUGUCACCAUGCCUGUCACGUUCUAACAAGUAUAUAAGCGCGAAAGUGACGGGCAUAGUGACAGGCAUCGAUUGACAGGUGAUAAAAAUGGAACCAUGCUGCCGCCGCUGUAGGGUUAAGAUGGUCGGUUUUUUUAUCACCUGUCAUCAUGCCAGUCACGUUCUAACAAGUAUGUUUUGGAAGGUAGAGGCAAGGAACAGAAUCUCCUUAGGCAGAACUAUUGCAAAAGUAUCCAGCUGUCAGCUAUAAUAAAUAAUAGUUCCAAAUCUCUCCAGAGUAGCGCUAGAGUAGCUAAGAACCUAGGCGUUAUUAACGGAGUGAAGUGCGCUGUCUAAAAUCGAUUUUUUUCUCAAGUAUUCUAGGUAUUGUAGCGCCACCUAUUUAUGGUUUUUUGUCGGACACUUUUUGGUAUAUGGAGAUUCUGUUCCCUGCCUCUACCUUCCAUAAAGUAUAAGUAAUAAAUAAAUAUUUUUACAAAUGCCAUAGUUUAAAGUAUUUUAUUGUUAAUUUCUGUCAAUCGGUUACCAAUCUCAGGCGGCGCUAAAAAGUACUAAAAACCCGAACCUUUUCUAUAAAAUGUCAAAUGGCUUCUCUACACGAUGGCCCAGUGCUGGACCAGCGAGAUGGCCAUGCAAUGGUGAUGGCUCCUCUACACGAUGGCCCAGUGCUGGACCAGCGAGAUGGCCAUGCAAUGGUGAUGGCUCCUCUACACGAUGGCCCAGUGCUGGACCAGCGAGAUGACCAUGCAAUGGUGAUGGCUCCUCUACACGAUGGCCUAGUGCUGGACCAGCGAGAUGGUCAUGCGAUGGUCGAGAGCACGCAGUAAUAUACAUACAUAUACUUACCUAAAUAUAACUAUGGAUUUUUAUUUUUAAUGUCAAACAGUAGCACUAAACUUUCAUUUGCAUGGCGUAAUGAAAACAUAAUUAUUUAUUAUUUAUUAUAAACCUAUACGGUGUCCCACUGCUGGGCAAAGACCUCCCCUCUCGAUUUCCACUCAUCUCGGUUUUGAACAAUCUCCGACCAGUCGUUGAGAUAUGCGUCCAGGUCGUCCCGCCAUCUCCGUCUGGGCCUAUCUUCCUCGUCUGUCUUGCGGCACCCAUACCGUGGUUAUUUUGGUCCCGCGAACACAUAUAACACAUAGCUCGCGCAAACUUAUUACCCCUUGAAUGUUGCGCGCUAUGGGAUCACAUCCCUGGAAUGCCAUUAUCUGGCACGUAUUUAAUCGCCCCAAGACGACCACUAACUUAGCCACUGGGCAUACUUUGACGACCAGUUUGGUGAAUAAGGGAUCGGCCAAACUAUUUCUUGUUAAAAGACGUUGAUGUAUCAUUUACUUCGUGGAAUAUGCACGUCUACGCAUACAUAUCAUAACAUGAUACAUAAUAUCUCAUCGUACGCACAUAUCAUAUUAUAUUUUA